rnacentral:rRNA from 1 species
AUACAGAGGGUGCGAGCGUUAAUCGGAAUUACUGGGCGUAAAGCGCGCGUAGGCGGUUAUUUAAGUCAGAUGUGAAAUCCCUGGGCUCAACCUAGGAACUGCAUCUGAAACUGGGUAACUAGAGUUUAGGAGAGGGGAGUAGAAUUUCGGGUGUAGCGGUGAAAUGCAUAGAGAUCCGAAGGAAUACCAGUGGCGAAGGCGACUCCCUGGCCUAGAACUGACGCUGAGGUGCGAAAGCGUGGGUAGCAAACGGGAUUAGAUACCCGAGUAGUCC